rnacentral:rRNA from 1 species
GGGGGAAAAAUUAAAUAUUUUAUAAUUAAUAAAAUUAAUUUUAAUAUUAAAAUGGGGGUUUUAGUAUUAAUAAAGAAAUAAUUAUAAAAUUAAUAGUUAAUUAGUAUUGUAAAAUAAAUUUGAAAUAAUUUAAAUAUAAAUUUAAGAAAAAGUAAAUUUUAAUUAUUGUAUCUUGUGUAUCAGAGUUUAUUAAUUAAAGGUUUAAAUAUAAAUAAUUCUCGAAUUUAAAAGAGAUAAUUAAUUAUAAAAGUUAUUGUAACAUAAAUAUUUUAAAUAAUUAAUUUGAAAUGAAAUGUUAAUCGUUUUUAAAUAUAUCUAGUUUUUUUAGAAAAAAAUUUAAUUUUAUUUUUUUUUAUAAAAAAUUAAUUAAUUAAUUUUUUAUAAAAAAAAAAUUAUAUUUUAAGGGAUAAUCUUUAAAUUAAAUUUUUAUAAUUUAUUUUUUUUUUAUUAAUUAAAAUUUUUAAAAUUUAUAUUGUUUAUAAUUUUUAAUUUUUUUUAUAAAUAAUUUUAAUUAAAUUAAAAUUUUAAUAAAAUUUAAUUUUUUAUAAAAAAAUAUUUUUUAAUUAAAUAAAAUUAGUUAUAAUGAUAAAAUUAGUAUUUAUAAUAAAAAAAAAUUUAUUAUAAUAAAAAUAAAUUUAAGGAAUUCGGCAAAACUAUAUAUUCACUUGUUUAUCAAAAACAUGUCUUUUUGUAAAUAAUUUAAAGUCUAAUCUGCCCACUGAUAAUUAUUAAAGGGCUGCAGUAUAUUGACUGUACAAAGGUAGCAUAAUCAAUAGUCUCUUAAUUGGUGACUUGUAUGAAAGAUUGGAUGAAAUAUAAACUGUCUCAAUUUUAUUUAGAAAAAUUAAUUUUUUAGUUAAAAAGCUAAAAUAAUUUUAAAAGACGAGAAGACCCUAUAGAGUUUUAUAAUAUAUACAUAUAUUAAAAUUAUUUAUAAAAAUAAUAAUUAAAAUAAUUAAUAUUAUUUUGUUGGGGUGAUAGAAAAAUAAAAAUAACUUUUUUUAAAAAUAAACUUUAAUAAAUGGGUAAAUGAUCCAAAAUUAUUUUGAUUAUAAGAAAAAAUUACCUUAGGGAUAACAGCGUAAUUUUUUUUUUUAGUACAAAUAAAAAAAAAAGUUUGCGACCUCGAUGUUGGAUUAAGAUAAAAUUUAUAUGCAAAAGUAUAAAAUUUUUGAUCUGUUCGAUCAUUAAAAUCUUACAUGAUCUGAGUUCAAACCGGUGUAAGCCAGGUUGGUUUCUAUCUUUAAAUAAUAAUAAUAAUUUAGUACGAAAGGAAUAAUUAUUAAAAUUAAAUUUAAUAAUAAGAAUUUUAAUAAUGUAUAUAUAUAUAUAUAUAUAUAUAUAUAUAUAAAUUAUAUUUAUUAUUUGUUAAUUA